rnacentral:rRNA from 1 species
GACAGAGGGGGCAAGCGUUGCUCGGAAUUACUGGGCGUAAAGGGCGCGUAGGCGGGAUGGCAAGUCGGUCGUGAAAUCCUUCGGCUCAACCGAAGAACGUCGAUCGAUACUGCUGUUCUUGAGGGUUGCAGAGGAGACUGGAAUUCCCGGUGUAGCGGUGAAAUGCGUAGAUAUCAGGAGGAACACCAAUGGCGAAGGCAGCUCUCUGGUCUGUAACUGACACUGAUGAACGAAAGCCAGGGGAGCAAACGGG